UUUAAAGAGAGUUUGAUCCUGGCUCAGGACGAACGCUGGCGGCGUGCCUAAUACAUGCAAGUCGAACGAACGGAGGAAGAGCUUGCUCUUCCAAAGUUAGUGGCGGACGGGUGAGUAACACGUGGGCAACCUGCCUGUAAGUUGGGGAUAACUCCGGGAAACCGGGGCUAAUACCGAAUGAUAAAG
rnacentral:rRNA from 1 species